AUGCGGUCUCACCUUCACGUUGAAGGUGGGCUACAUCCCUGGGUACGACCCUUCUUUUUUCUCGAAGUGGUGAUGGAGACGAGUGACAGCUGGCCCAUCCUUGUCAUCGGAGUCUGCGGAGCAUUGGAAGGGACAGUCACAAUGGGGAGCGGCAGGUCACAAUGGGGGAGGCGCCGCCAGGACGCAGCCGGCCGGGCCUGCACUUUCCCAGGAAGGGCAACCCCGGUGCCUGUCCCCGAGAGCCCAGCAGCCCGGCCCUUGGUCGGAGGAGCAAAGCCGGGAGAGCCGCCGAGGGCGACGCGCUGGAAGCUGGCACUCACCGCUUCCUGGUGGAGAAGUGCGAUGCACUGUGACAGGAGCACCCACUUUCACGUUGUGUGAGGCGUUGACUGAUUUGCAUUACUGGGACUACAAAGACGUGAUCCGUGUGUUGCUGUCUCACGGCGCUGAACCUCAGCCAGAGAUAACAGCGUGAGCCUCUGUUGGUACUUUAUUCAAUAGGGUCUGUUUAUAACUUCAGCGGAGGCUGUGUUUUCAUUUUAAAAUGGCUGGAAUCUAAUUUAUUUGGAAGAAUUAGGAUACACUUUCCCCUUAGAACUGUCAGGCCACACAAGGAAUAAAAUGGAGCUUGACAGCA
rnacentral:lncRNA from 1 species